AGUCACUGACAUUAGAUACCCCUGUAGUCCAGGGUGUAAACGCUGCAGACUUGGUGUUGGAAGUCCUUUGGGGGCAUUCAGUGCCGGAGAGAAGUUGUUAAGUCUGCUACUUGGGGAGUACGUCCGCAAGGAUGAAACUUAAAGGAAUUGGCGGGGGAGCACCGCAACGGGAGGAGCGUGCGGUUUAAUUUGGACUCAACGCCGGAAAUCUCACCGGAUAGGACAGACAUAUGAUAGUCGGGCUGAAGACUCUACUUGAUGAUCUG
rnacentral:rRNA from 1 species